rnacentral:lncRNA from 1 species
ACCAUGCUGCAGGGAACUUCCACAUUCUAAGUCUUAUUUAAUACAAUGGUAGCUCUUCCCUUUACAGAAUAAAGAACGCUUCUCUACAAAAUUGAGGACCUCCACCAGGCCAUCCUCACCAAAACUUCCAUAUUGACUGCUGUUCGACCCUGCCUGCUGCUGCGAUUUCGUCAGAUACUGUCUUCAGGUUCCAGUCUCCCACCGAGGAGAUCCCAACUUUAUAAUACCUUCCUUUUAGCUAGUCCAUGGGAGUGA